rnacentral:rRNA from 1 species
AACGUAGGUCACAAGCGUUGUCCGGAAUUACUGGGUGUAAAGGGGGCGCAGGCGGGAAGACAAGUUGGAAGUGAAAUCCAUGGGCUCAACCCAUGAACUGCUUUCAAAACUGUUUUUCUUGAGUAGUGCAGAGGUAGGCGGAAUUCCCGGUGUAGCGGUGGAAUGCGUAGAUAUCGGGAGGAACACCAGUGGCGAAGGCGGCCUACUGGGCACCAACUGACGCUGAGGCUCGAAAGUGUGGGUAGCAAACAGG